rnacentral:rRNA from 1 species
CCUACGGGAGGCUGCAGUGGGGAAUAUUGCACAAUGGGGGAAACCCUGAUGCAGCGACGCCGCGUAAGUGAAGAAGUAUUUCGGUAUGUAAAGCUCUAUCAGCAGGGAAGAGAAUGACGGUACCUGAGUAAGAAGCCCCGGCUAACUACGUGCCAGCAGCCGCGGUAAUACGUAGGGGGCAAGCGUUAUCCGGAUUUACUGGGUGUAAAGGGAGCGUAGACGGCGAAGAAAGUCUGAAGUGAAAGCCCGCGGCUCAACCGCGGAACUGCUUUGGAAACUGUGCGGCUGGAGUGCAGGAGGGGUAAGCGGAAUUCCUAGUGUAGCGGUGAAAUGCGUAGAUAUUAGGAGGAACACCGGUGGCGAAGGCGGCUUACUGGACUGUAACUGACGUUGAGGCUCGAAAGCGUGGGGAGCAAACAGGAUUAGAUACCCUGGUAGUC